UACGUAGGGGGCUAGCGUUGUCCGGAAUCAUUGGGCGUAAAGAGCGCGUAGGCGGCCAGAUAAGUCCGGUGUGAAAGUCAAAGGCUCAACCUUUGAAUGCCGCCGGAAACUGUCUGGCUAGAGUCCGGGAGGGGCGAGUGGAAUUCCUGGUGUAGCGGUGAAAUGCGCAGAUAUCAGGAGGAACACCAAUGGCGAAGGCAGCUCGCUGGAACGGUACUGACGCUGAGAAGCGAAAGCAUGGGGAGCGAACAGG
rnacentral:rRNA from 1 species